rnacentral:rRNA from 1 species
UACGAAGGGGGGCUAGCGUUGCUCGGAAUUACUGGGCGUAAAGCGCACGUAGGCGGUCUUUUAAGUCGGGGGUGAAAUCCUGGAGCUCAACUCCAGAACUGCCUUCGAUACUGGAAGACUUGAGUCCGGGAGAGGUGAGUGGAACUGCGAGUGUAGAGGUGAAAUUCGUAGAUAUUCGCAAGAACACCAGUGGCGAAGGCGGCUCACUGGCCCGGAACUGACGCUGAG